AAUAAAGUAAACAACUAUGUUUGAAAAUUAUAAAUUUAAUAUUGAAUUUCUCUUUCCAAAUGAAAAGUGUUUUGUGAAGACCUACAAAAUUAAGAACAUUUAUACCAUGUCAGCUGGACGAGUGGUCAUACAGUGCUGACCAGUUGGUCAGUACCAACUGUGUUUUUCUUAGUACCAACGUACCCGUCACAAAGCCAGCUUUUGUUGCGAAUUCCAUGAUGCGACAAAAGUUGGGAAACACGCAGUUCGGGGACGCUAUAGCUUAUAGGUUCUAGAUGUGUUUAUCUGAAAGUUAAGUAUUCUCUAUUUGAUUGUACUAUUGAAGUUUUAUGUGAAGAAGGAUAAACUAUAUGGGUAAGUUCAAGAUGAAAUUCAUAAUAUUUUCCAUGUGUCUUAUAGUCUUACGUACAUGGAACUAUUUAACUAAAACGUGUAUGACUUUAGAAAUAUACUGAUGUCAAAAUUUUCGCGGUAUUGUAUGUUUCAAUAUAAUCUUUUUGUUUCAUUUUCAAAAGUCUUUAUCUCUUUUACAGACCUAUUCAUCAUUAUUUAAGUUUGAAUUCGUGAGAAGCUCUAUUCGAUUUGUGUUUGGAAUCUUGUAAAACUGUAUGUGACUGGUUGAUGUGAAUCACGAAGUUGGUUGGCUGGAAGUUUAUAUUUGGUGACUCGUAAAUCCUUUUCUUUGGAGUUUUCUGUAUACCAAUAUCCUAAUAUAUUUU